AUUUGAGACUACGGAAGGCUCCGUCUUGAGAGAGGAAGAGGGCAAUAGGGAGAAAGAGAGCUGAGAGCCAAGGCUGGGUGGGGUGCCUCCGCCCUUCUCCUGGGUGCACAGCUGAGUGGGCGGGCAGGCGGGCUCUCGGGCUGGCUGCGGAGUGGUUGGUGGGCUCUGAAUAUUCUCCUACAAAGAAGGAGGGAGGGGAAGCAGUGGGUGGAGCAGGGCGGAAGCCCUGACAGGUGGGCCAGACAGCGUGUGCACACAGAGCACACUGCCAGGGGAGGAUGCUGGUGCGAGAGGAAAAGGGGGUGGGGAGUGGCGGGGCCAGCGCAGGGAAGGUGCAAGCGGAGGGGCAGAGCCACAGAGCGCGGCGCUAUCAGGUUGUGUUGCAGGAGACCGGGGGCAUGUUUGCUGUGUUUGCAUCCUCUCCACCCGUCUGGCCGGGGAGCUGCACGCCUGAGCGCGCUGGAAGCUACGUCCUGUGCCUUGGUUCCUCCGCCAGGAAGAGAGAGGGACUACGGGUGGCACUGUUGAAGCUAAGGGUAAGAGUUGCCAGAAAUUAACAGAAAAUAAAAGAAAAUACGAGUGAAGAAAUGUGAUUAAGCACAGAAACUUGAAAACCCAGAGGAAUGAAACGCUGAUAACUUCUUACUUUGGAGGACUUCUGUUAGAAGGGGGGUGGAGGGGACAGUUCCCAAGGAUCUGAAACAAAGCUUUUUAUCUACUUGUGAAGAUUUAUCUAGUUGUGAAGAGGGAGUUUUUAGCUAACGGAAGCUGCAGCAUUGUCCCCAGGAAAUAAUGCUUUAUCCAGAAUGGGGAUUGGGCAUACAUAUGCUUUGGAAUUUUGAACAUAUUUUGGACCUCCCUGAGGCCUUCUUCAUGUUAAGCAGACUGGAGUACUACUGCCCUCUCAAGUGGCCUACUCUAAGUGGACAAGAAAGCCUUGUCUUGACAGGCUUUAUGGAUUUGGUUAUAAAAUGUGGAAUGGGGGCCUGCUUUAUUUCUGGCACUGUUCAGAAUUGUGCUGAAUCUCUUAUCACCUGGUGUUUUCAUCUGGCCGGUCACCCUCAGCAAUGGUGAACUAUCCCAGAGAACAUGUAUUUGGUGACCUGCUGGAGUCCAUUGAGCUCAGAAAGUGGGAAGGAAUAGUAGCAGGGACCCCUGUCCAAGACCUUCCAUCUCAUCCUUUCCUUUUUGUCUCCAUCCUUUGCAGAGGCUGACAAAUUUUAUAACAUUCAGUUAUAAAAGGAUAAACUACUUGUACACUUUUAACUCAACAUUUCUUAAGUAUUUGUUAGGUACCGCGGUGAAGAUUGAUUAUAGCCCUCUGGUCGUAGGCUUUUAGAAUCAGAAGGGACCUUACAAGACAAGGAAAGCCCAUCACCAAGACGAGUAGGGCCUUAGACUCCAGGCUUGUUCAAGACUCAAGGGCAUGUUCUAUGUUGUUGUUCAGUCAUUCAGUCAUAUUCACCUCUCCGUGACCCUGAGGGCCAUAGCAUUCCAGGCCUUUCUAUCUUCCAUUAUCUACUAAAGUCUAUUAAAGCUCAUGUUCAUUGCUUCCAUGAGACUAUUUGUCCAUCUCAUCCUCUGCCAUCCCCUUUUCCAUUUGCCUUCAGUCUUUCCCAACAUCAGGGUCUUUUCUAAUGAGCCCUGUCUUCUCAUUAUAUGGCAAAAGUACGUAAGCUGAAACUUUGGUGUUUGUCCUUCCAAUGAGCAGUUCAAAGGACUCUCACAAGUCUUCUCCAGCACCGCAGUUCAAAAUCAUUGAUUCUGUCGGACUCAACUUUCCUUACAGUUCAAUUCCAUUGCUACUGGACAAAAACAAAAAACAACAACAACAACAACAACAAAAUCCAUAGCUUUGGCAUACAAACUUUGUUAGCAAGGUUAUAGCUUUGCUUUUUAGUAUGCUGUCCAGAUUUGACAUAGCUUUGCUUUCAAGGAGCAAGCAUCUUUUAAUUUCAUGAGUGUAGUUGCUGUCUGAAGUGAUCUUUGAGCCCAAGAAUAUAAAAUCUGACACUGCCUCCAUUUCUUCUACUUCAUUUUGCCAGUAAGUGAUAGAACCAAUUUUUUUUAUAAUGUUAAGCUACAAACUAGCUCUUAGACUUUCUUCUUUCACUCUCAUCAAAAGAUUUUUUCAUUCUUCCUCACUUUCUGCUAUCACAAUGGUAUCAUCUGCAUGUCUGAGAUCGUUGAUAUUUCUCCUGGCAACCUUAAUUCUGGCUUUUGAUUUGUCCAGCCUGGUAUUUCACAUGAUGUACUCUGUGUGUAAGUUAAAUAAGGUGACAAUAUACAGCCUUGUCAUACUCCUUUCCCAGUCUCAAACCAAUCUGUUCCAUGUUCGGUUCUAACUUAUUUCUUGGCCCACAUACAGGUUCCUCAAGAGACAAGUAAGAUGAUCUGGUACUCCCAUCUCUUUAAGAACUUGACACAUUUUGCUGUGAUCACACAGUCAAAGGCUUUAGUGUAGUCAAUGAAACAGAAGUAGAUUUUUUUUCUUUUUUGGAAUUCCCUUCCUUUCACCAUAAUCUAGCCAUUAUGAGCAAUUUGGUCUCUAGUUCUUCUGCCUCUUUGAAAACCAGCCUGCUCUUCUGGUAAUUCUCAGUUCACAUAUUGCUAAAGCCUAGCUUGCAGAAUCUUAAGCAUAACCUUGCUGUUGUGUGAAAUGAAUGCAAUUACUCAGUGAUUUGAACAUUCCUUGGCAUUGCCCUUCUUAGGUAUUGAGACAUAAAGUGAUCUUUUCCAAUUCAAUGGCCCCUGUUGAGUUUUCCAAAUUUUCUGGCAUGUUGAGUGCAGCACUUUAACAGCAUCAUUUUUUUUAGGAUUUUAAAUAACUCAGCUGGAAUUCCAUUACCUCCACUAGCCUUAUUGUUAGCAAUACUUCUUAAGGCCCACUUGACUUUAUUCUCCAAAAUGUCUGGCUCUAGAUCAGUAAACCACACCAUCAUGGUUAUCAGUGAUAUUAAAAUCUUACUUGUAUAGUUCUUCUGUAUAUUCUUGCCACCUCUUCUUAAUCUCUUCUACUUCUGUUAAAUUCCUACCAUUUUUGUUUUUUAUGAUGCCCGUUUUUGCAUGAAACAUCACUCCCUUGAUAUGUCUAAUUUUCUUGAAGAGAUAUCUUAUCUUUUACAUUCUUUUGUUUUCUUCUAUUUCUUUGCAUGGCUCAUUUAAGAAAACCUUAUCUUUCCUUGCUCAUCUCUGGAAUUCUGCAUUCAUUUGGAUAUUUUUCCCUUUCUCCUUUACUUUUCACUUUCCUUCUUUCCUCAGCUCUUUGUAAAGCCUCUUCAGACAUCAUGAUCCAUACAGAGGAUAUUUUCUUCAAUUUCCCAGACUUAUAAUAAAGCUACAGAAUUGCCAUUGCCUAUGUGUUCU
rnacentral:lncRNA from 1 species